UCUCCGUUGGUGAACCAGCGGAGGGAUCAUUAUCGAGUUUAUAACUCCCAAACCCUAUGUGAACUUACCACUUGUUGCUUCGGCGCGCGCUUCGGCGCCGCCGAGGACACUUAAACUCUUUGUUUUUAUAAGCAUUUCUGAGUGGCCGAAAGGCAAAAUACAAAUGAAUCAAAACUUUCAACAACGGAUCUCUUGGUUCUG
rnacentral:misc_RNA from 1 species